rnacentral:rRNA from 1 species
AAGGAUUCCUUUAGUAAUGGCGAAUGAACAAGGAAUAGCUCAUGUUGACAACCUGAACCUCUGGUUUAGAUUUGCAUAAUAUAGAUGCAUUGCCAAUGAAAGUGUGCAUGCAAGCCUUUUGGAAGAAAGCAGCAAUGAAGGUGAAACUCCUGCGUGUCAUGUGCAAUCUUUCAUACAAGGUGUGCUUCCAAGAGUCGCGUUCCUUGGAAGUGGAGCGCAAAUUGGGUGGUAAACUUCAUCCAAAGCUAAAUAUUGGUUUGAGACCGAUAGUGUACAAGUACCAUGAGGGAAAUGUGAAAAGGACUUUGAAAAGAAAGUUAGAAGUACCUGAAGUUGCUGAAAUGAAAGCAAAUGAAAUUGAUUGAUUGUAGCAAGAUUGCAGUGUGCAAAUGUCAGCCAGUCGGUGCACAUGAUUUGGCAUCCUUGGUUGUUUUAUGCGCAUCGUGUGUCUUGCUUUACAUGUCACAACUAAGCCGUGAUGUCAAUAUGUUGAGCAUGAGGGAACGUUCAUUGUUUGGCGUGAUCAUGCCCAAGACUGACAUUUGACUUGGUGCCUUUUGCUAGGCUGUGCGCCCUUUGCAAAGCGAAUGCGUUGCGGCGCGUUUGGCAUUGCGUGACUUUGAUAUUUCAUUUGACCCGUCUUGAAACACGGACCAAGGAGUCUAAUGCAUGUGCGAGUUUGUGGGUUUAUCAUUUGGGGCGAAAUGAAAAUGACAGUCGGGAUGUAUGCACCGACAGCCAACUAAUCAUUUGUGAGAGGUUUGAGUUUGAGCAUAUUUAUUAGGACCCGAAAGAUGGUGAACUAUGCCUGAGAAGAAUAAAUUCAGGGGAAACUCUGAUGGAGGCUUGCAGCGGUACUGACGUGC